rnacentral:lncRNA from 1 species
UCUGGUGUAGAACUUCACUGCAAAACCCCGGGGGUCCCUGAGGGUCUCAGGGCUUCCACGCUCAUGGAUAACAGUGGAGAAGCGGACAAUUACAGGUGUCUGGACACCAGGUUCCCGAAGAAAAUCAGCACAUGUAAGUUGAGUAAUAUCAUCAGUGACCUCAAAGAAACCCUUGGCACUAGCACCCCUUGCAUGGACAACUCGUUCAGGGAUCCGCUCCCUAUCAAAAUUAGCAAUUUUCUCCACCAACUGAUAAUCCUCGAGGAGGAUUGGGCCUGUCAAACAGAAAACGAGUUCAUAUAACUGGACCCACAUACUUUAAACAUAAUCAACUUAUGCAAACAAUUCUACUGUUAGGCAUUGAAAUGAGUAAUAUGAGCGCAUCAUUAUUUGAUAUAAAGCAAUUUCGGCCAGUAAUUAUAUCUGGCAUAUACAUGUGUCAGGGGAUUAUACAUUUAACAAUUAGAUACCAUAGGAGGCAGAAGCAAAUAAGAAGUAUCUUGUAUACUAUCUAAGAAUGUAAAUUUCUACCAAUUGAUUUAAGAGUAAAUUGUUUACUGUCCGUGAUGCUACUUUUCCAAGUUUCACAAACAUAUUUGUAUUGUAGUUUAACUAAAACAAAAGGCAUACUACAAAGACAAUAUGAGAAGGAAGAAUAAACUACUCGUUCUAACAAACAAUCAUCAUCGACCAAAAGUGGUAACUCCUAAGGUGAAGGAGUUGGAAAUUUUCAAAUCUGGAAAGUAUAUAAAAAUAUAUUAUAUGCUGUCCAUAAAUCCAACAGAUUCUGUGGUUCAGUUGGUUCAAAGAAAGGAGUUGUAAAGUUAAGAACUUGGGUUCAAGUCUUGGUAGCAGUGUUUUGGCAAUUUUAAUUUUUCAAAUGCCAAUGGUUAGGCUGUGAAACAUUACAACAGUUGGGCUGAAUCUAUGGUUUGGAACGAUUGGGCAGAAUCAAUGCCAACGGUUUGGACAAAUAUAAACCAAUGCAAUGUUUCAACAAAUCAAAAUGUUCAAACAACAAAUCUAAACCAUGGGUUCAGUUAAAAAAUGUAAUCCAACGGUAAUAUUUAAAUACCUUUCAAAUGUAUGUAUCUUUUCAAAAAGGUGUUUUGGUUCCUCUUCAGAAGGGUGCUUGAAAACCUAUAAAUAGGUUGUCAAUUAACCCAUGUCAUUCAACUCAAUCAUUCCAAAUCCUUUAAGUUCUUAGAAAAAAUAUCAUUCUAGUACAUUGUUUUUUCCUGCUAUAAUUUUCUUCUCUCAUUUAUAGUACAAAGUAAAAUUUGAGUCCGUCUUAUCUUACGAGACUAAUUCGCAGUAACCCUGUAUAACAAAAGUAAAGGGCGAAUAAUCUUAAGGAAAGAGUUGUCAACCAUUCGAUUGUAAAAUUGUUAUCCUACAUCAAAACUACGAAGCAGGUUUUUGAUACCGAGGAAUGAAGCCAUAUGCUAAUUUCAAUAUUCAUGUAAAGUCGUUAAUCUAUUCAUAAUGCACAUAUCUACAUCCUAAAGGCAACCAUGCAAAUUCGAUAUAUAUAAACUAGAGAAAACAAUGGGAGGCAUCUAAGCUAGAUGAAACCACUCAAUUACAAACACAAAAAAAUAAAUAAUAAAAACUAACUAUCAACAAAUCAGAAAAACUUUGCACAGCCAUACCAAUAUAAAUAUAAGGAUAAACAAGUUAUGUCAAACUAAAUCACAACAAAUUAGCUACUCACUUUUGUCAUGUUUCAUCGGUUCAUCAAAGGGUAAAAUUAUAAUCCAAACAUGAACCUUUUUUUUACCACCUAGAUUACGAUUUAUGAGGAUGGCAUAGAUGUCAAUGCCAACAUCCAUCCCAUUUCGAUACUGCUUAACUAACAAAUACUAACAAUAAUAAGAUGAUCCACAAAAAGAAAACAGUAAAUAUGAUGUAGAAAAGAGUAAAUAUGAUGUAACAAGACAUCCCGCGCCUUGAAUACAAAAAGCCACUAAUAGCAUAUAACUAAAACAAAGUACUACCAUUUAGAAAUCCUUGUUAUCAACUUUUAAUAAAGACCACAAAAAUUUGUAACAAAAGAUACCUCUAAUUCCCACACUUAAAGAUGAAUUAUUGUUCCAAACUGGAGCACCGGAAUUUGUUGUCCAGUAAGGGGAAUUGAAAGCACUUGAAGGGCGGUGCUACAACCCAAAAAACAAAAUAAAUAAUCACAGAGAGCAGUUUGUGUGUGUGUGUGUGUGUUUUGAUCGAUCAGCGGUUUGUGUGUUAGAAAAGCUAUUAAUAACAAGGUUAUGAAACUUGAAAAUGGAAAACUGAAUAAAAUAAAAGAAAAUAAGGUAUUAAAUCAUUAUAAAUUAAAACUUCGACUUGACCCUCAAUCUGGAAAGCAACAAAUUGAUGAGAAACCUAAACCUAUAUUCACAUGAGCUUAAAACAACAGGAGGAUCAUAUAAUAAGUAUCUUAUUUAACCAUUUGGAAGCCAAAAUUUUGUAUGGACUAAACAAUCUGUGAUUUUUAAUUUCCUUAUUUCCUCAACAACCUAACAAAAUGUAGGUAAAGAUAUCAAAAAAACAUGUGGAAAAAUUGCAAAAACUUAUGAAACUGAUGAUCAAAACAACAAAACUCAAGAGGCAUCAAUCCAUGCAUCAAUAAUUUUUAAUAAAUAAAAUCACAAACUUAGAAAAAUAAAAACCGUGACAAAUUAAACAGAACAAAAUGUUAUGAUUAAAUCAGAAUUAUGAGCAGGAAUUACUUGUGAAAAAGUACGAGAUAAAAUAAUUACCGUGUAUGGAUCCAUGGUAGGAUGAAGCUUAGAGAGAUUGAUUUGUUGAUGAGAAAGAUAAUAUUGGUGCGUGGGAAAUUUACAGUCCUUUCUUCUUUAGUGGAGAGAUAAUCGGUUACCCAAUAAAAAUCUCGCCCUACAAUAUUGAUUGGUUUUCAUACAGCUUUCCCUAUUUUCUCUCUUGGUCCUAAAUUCUCCACAUAAAGUUUUUGCGGGAAAUAUUCUUAUUGACUAAAUAGUGGAGUAUAUUUUAUUUCCCACGAUUUUUUUUGAAAGGAAUUUGUAAAUUGACAGACUAACUAACUCUAAUACGACAAUGUUCUUAAAAAUAAAAAUAAAUAAAAAUAAAAAAUAAAACCUAUAAUAUAUAGAGUAAUAUCAUUUCAAAACCGUAAGAGAAUAUAAUGGUUAUUUUAAAAGAAAUUUUUGACCUAACCAAUUUAUUAUGUCUAUGUAUCUGAACCCUACAAAAAUAGGGCUAUAAUAAGAAAUAGUAUUAUAAUUAAUAGUAAGAUUUUUACUGUUAGCCUAUAAAUUAGGCUUUAUAUACAUAUAAAAUUAGAUGGAGAAUCACACUGGGCUCUACUAAAUCACCUGCCACAGUAGAACUAUGGAUGGUUGGCUCUUAUAUUAAAACAAAUAAGACAAUCAAUACUAAUAUAUAUAUAUAUAUAUAUAAAGGGAGGAUUGUCAAACCAUGUAAUGAGUUCACUCAUCCAUCUCUAUUCUUCUAUUCUUAUCUAUAAAGGGAGGAUUGCCAAACCAUGUAGUCAGUCAUCUGAAUUUUAGAAAUUGGUUUGUUUAAUAAUGUAAUUUAGUUUAGGCGGUUUGUCAUCUAUAAUCUAAUAAUAGGUGGGUCAACUCGAGUAGUCCUAAGUUAUCAAGUCAGUCAACUCGGAUAGUCCUGAGUUCUGACUCCUGAGUUGUCUUGGUUUUCGGGUGACAACCUAAUUAAUUAAUUAGGUUUUAAUUUAAAACCCACAUUUUACCCAACACCUUUCAACCAUUAUUGCCUCCUUAACUUACUUUUACAAGUUGCCUCUUAUUUUAAUAAUUGUAAAUUAAAUGUGAGUUGUCUCAAAACCAUGUUUAUUUUAUAUAUAUAUAUAUAUAUAAAGGGAGGAUUGCCAAACUAUGUAGUGAGUCCACUGAUUUAAAAACUCUUAAAUAACCGAGUCAUUUCAGUUGGAAUUUUAAAAAUUAGUUUGUUUAAUAAUAUAAUUCAGUGAGAGUUGGUUUGCCAUCUAUAACCUAAGAAUAGGUGGUCCUAAGUUGUCAUACAUUAUUAGGUGAGUCAACUCAAAUAGUUCUGAGUUGUCUUGGUUUUCGGGUGACAACCAUUAUUCAUUCAUUCAUUAGAGCAUUAACAACAGUUUCCUAAUCAACUCUCUAGAAUAUAUCAACAAAUCAUUAUCCAUCAGCUUCCUUAUCCUUAAUUGACUCGCUAUUUUAAUCCCUAUAUAAGAUUUUACUCCCCAGUGUGAGGGAGUCAAAAACCAUUCUCUAUAUAUACAAAAUGACAUUUCACACUCGCAUUUAAGUGGACAACUCAUUAAUCAUACACAUCUUGACAUUUUUUUACUACUUUAUUUUCAAAUUAUAAACUUAAUAUUGACUUAUAUUUUAAAAAUUAAUUUCAAAUGUAUGCAAAUUUAAAAUUGAUAUAAAUUUAUUUAUUUUAUGUCAAUAUAAUUAUAAAUAUUAUAGAAGUACUAUUCAUUAUAAAAUUAAUUAUUUUCAAAUUUUAAAUGAAUCAUAUUAAAUUUAAAUUUAAAAAUAUCACAAAUUAACAUUUUAAAAGUUAAUAUUGAUCUUAUGUAUAUUUGCAGCUACGAUCCAUUCAAUACUCACUCCAUAAAUUACUUAAAAUUUAAAAUAAAAUAAAAUAUAUUUUAAAGUGGAAUAUAAUUGAUAAAUUAAACUCUCUUUUAUAAAUUAUAAGAUUAUUAUUAAUUUGAUGUUUUUACUGUUUUAACUUUUAAAUUUUAACCUUUAACUUUUAAAUUUCAUUAUUUAAGAAAUCAAUUUAAGGAACCUGUUAGGUACAUAAUGAAAAAAUUGAAUCCCUAUUUUGCAGAAUGACCCAAUAGCACUGCAGAGUAAGGAUAAAUAUAAAGAAACUGUUAUUGCCUCCUUAGGUUACAUUUACAAGUUACCUCUUAUUUUGAUAAUUGUAAAUUAAAUGUGAGUUGUCUCAAAUUCAUGUUUUAUAAUUUUGAAUUAAAAUAAGUUACUCAUAAAUAAUUCCUUCAUUUUCGGAUUAUACAAUUAAAUACAUAUAAUUUAUGCAACUUAAUUGGGUGCAUAUUUAACCUCUAAAAUCAUACUCCUCUGUUCCUAAAAGAUUGUCGUUUUAGAAGAAAUUUUUUUUCCAAAAAGUUUGUCGUUUACAACUUUUGAGAAGAAUAAAUUAUUUACUUUCCUAUAUUACCCCUACCUUAUCUAAUUGUCCCAAUAAAUUCUCUCCCUUGUAUUAAUAGUUUUCAAUUUCCCAUAAAGGGGUAAUGAUGGAAUUUCAAACAAAUUUUACUUGGUAAAUGACUCUUUCUUAAUCCAUGUGCCAAAAUUUUAAACGACAAUCUUUUAGGAACAGAGCGAGUACAACAUAUUACAUAAUAGAACAUAUACCAGAGACCAAUUCUUAAUUAAUAACCGAGUUAUCUCAGUUGAAAUUUUAUAAAUUGAUUUUUUUAAUAAUGCAAUUUGAUGACUUUUGGUUUGCUAAAGUCUGUAGGUUUUUUCAUUUUUUUAUGCACACUUCUUAGAUCGGACUGUGAACCUAAUUAAUAUUAUUUCAUUAUUAUUUUUAAUUCCUCAUAAACUCCAUGAUUUUAUAUAAUGCAUUUUUAAUUAAAAAAAGAAGAAGAACAGCUAGCAAGUCUUUCUCACUCUAAAAACAAUGAUGUACAACCAACAGUAGCAUAUAUAUAUAUAUAUAUAUAUAUAGAGAGAGAGAGAGAGAGAGAGGGAGAAAUUAUGAACCUGGAGCUGGAGUACUGAAAGAGCUUCCCAUUAGAGGAGAAGAUGAUAAGAGCAACAUCGGCAUCACAAAGAACAGAGAGUUCUUCAACUUUCUUAAAAAGCCCUCUUCUCCUUUUUGAGAAGGUCACCUGCCUUGCUGUUGUGUUAUCAAUCUUCUUGAUCUGUAUCUUUUCUCUAGCCAUUUCUAUAUCUACACUCAAUCAAUUAAACCCUUCAAUAUUAAUAUUUACUUUUCACUCCAAAAAGAAGAGAAAUACAGAGGAGAGAACAAGCCAGCGUACAAUAAAAUGAAAUGGAACUAAUCUAAUAAGUUACUAUGUCUAUCUAGUUGUAUGAAGAACAAAAAAAGGGUGAGAGAAAAUUACUACUAUUUGCUUACCUUGUUUUUGGGAACCAUGUUGGAGUAGUGAGGUGGGAACUUGGAAAUCUCCAGAUGCUCUGUUGGGGAAAAGGCUGGUAAUGAGUGAGGGUUUUUGUUUAUUUAUAAAAGUGGGAAGGAUAAAGGGGGAGAAUUAUUGAGCUUUUCUAUGGUGAAGCAGGUUCCUUUUACCCUUUCAGGUAUCAUUUGUUUUAGUUGCUCUAAAUGGUUAAAAAGAGUGAAAAACAGGACACCUUAGGGUAUAAUUGAGACAAACACAUUCAAAUGAGCUUACACUCUUGUUUCUGGGUUUUACAAUUAAUGAAAGGAUAAAGAAAAAUAUUUUUUGUCAAUUUUUUUUAUUAUUGAGUUGUAUGGGUUUGGAUGAAAACUGAACAAGUAAAUCUUUUCAUUUUUAUUGUACUUUAUAUAUUACAAACACAACAAAAUUAAUAUAAAGAUAAAAUAACAAUUCAAAUGUAAAAUUUGUAAGUUUUUAUUUUUGUGAUUUUCGCAAUGCGAGUUGCAAUUGGAAUUGGUCGAUCUUCUCCGAUGUAAGAUCUCGACUUUUAAUUAAUAAAAUUUAAUUUUUCUUUUAUAUGUUUCUAAACAGUAAAGUGUUAGAUUGAUAAAAAGUUAAAGUUAAAAAUGAUAUAUAUAAAUUAUAAGAAACAAGAAUAUAGGCGGAGACGCCAAAGAAUAUUUGGUAUCAUAAAAUAGCGCCGUAACAACCAAUUUUUGGUACUCCACAAUAAAAUAAUUGUCGAAUACAGAAAGCGACAAAAUAACUGUUUAGUAAAAAUUGUUGACUCAAAUGUUACCUUUACUGUUAAAAUAUCUGACAAUAAAGGAACAGCAACACUUAAAAGUUGCAGAUACUAAAAAAUUAGUUAAGACUUGUUAAUAUGUUAAGUAAACAAUAUUGUAUACAUAAAUAUUUGUAAUAUUAAUACAUUCAGUAAAUAAAGUAGAAGAUAGAUAAAUAUAAUAAUUAUUAUGAAUAAUAAAGAAAAAAGUAAUCUUGAAAUGUGAAAGUUGUGCCCAAAUUUAUGUAUUAAAAUAAAAAUAAUCUUGAAAUGUAAAAAUUGUAUUAACUCCUAUGCUUAUUCUUAUUUAGUAAGGCCAAGGGGUUACCAUUUCCUAUUAUUCCUUAUGCCUCUGCAUCAUUUAUUCAAACUUCAAAAGCAACAAUUCUUUAGCUCCAUAUCAAUAUUGUAUUCCUGCCACAGAUGAGACUAACCCAAACCAGAUACAUUUUUAAUAUAUCACAGCUGAUGUAUUCAAAUGAGUUGAGCAUAAAGCCACAAUUUACAGAACCAAAAACAAAAUGGGAGAAGAUAAUACAAGGUCACUCAAAAUAACUAGCACAAAAGUUCAGGACAGCAUCAAGUCUAGAAGUCACAACUCACAAGACAGACAUACAAAUUUGCCAUGCAUAUAACAUAAAGAACACUUGAUGGAAGGAGUUCCACUGAGUUUAUGCUUCCAACCAACUGAUGCUCUCUAAUCUACUCUUUCUCACAUUCAGCACAGAGUAUCUAUCGGCAUCAACUUCAAAUGCUCGGCCUCACAUUGAGGCGAGAUGCUAUUUUCUCACCAAGAGACUUGUCAGCCUGCAGCACAUACCAUAAAAUCAAAUCAGUCAGAUAUACCUACUCGUUACCUUGUCUUCACAAGCCUUCAAUUAUAAAUUGAGAAACUCAAAAGGCAAGGAAUCAAACCUGAGACCAAUAUGAGAUCCAUAUGCUGCGGAUCUCAUGGGUUACACGCGGAUCAGAUAAAGCAUCAACCACUCGACGGAUAAAUCGCUCUUGCCUGAAAAAAUAAAAGGAUCAAUGAAGUACGUUAUUGUAUUAUGAAAACAACAUACCAUUGUGGAAGAACAAGACAUGCAUACCUGUCUGGGGGAAAAGAUCGGUAUCUCUCUCCUGGCUGCUUGAAGUUGUUCUCUUUCUCAAUCAUGGCCUGCAUUUACCAACAAGCUAUCAUGUAUCCAGAUUAUCUACGAUUAAUAAAUAUUUGCAUGAUGUCUUUGUAAGUGACAGAGGUAUCUAAUACUUUUUCAAACAAAGUUCCAUUUAUCUCCAAGUGUUGAUUUAUAAACUCAACCAUUUUCAAAGUUCUAGCCCAUUCAAAAACAACAUGGAUAAAGGAAUGCAAACAUUACAAACUCACCCUAGUGCACCUUCCCGUCAACACAGGAGGAGGAAGGGGAUGCUUCUCAGAAUGGCGCACUGAAUCGAACCUAGAAGGGAAGUAAUUGACCUGGAACAGUGCAUUUGUGUAAUUAAUAUAGAGAACACAAUCAUGCUUAAAAUUAUCAAAGGUAUCUAUAGGAAGAAAGAGAUCAUUAAGAAAUUCAUAAUCUGAACUACUUCCCAAGAAAGAGACGCAUAAGGGAAGUACAGACCUCCUCAUCCCUGUGCAUAAAAUUCAUUAAGCCUUCAUGGUGAUUGUUGUGAUGAGCACUCUUAGGAGCAUUAGCUGGAAGCUGAAGAUAGUUUGGUCCAAGACGGUGCCUCUGAGUAUCGGCAUAUGAGAAUAUCCGAGACUGAAGAAGCUUAUCAUCUGAAUAGUACACACCAGGAACGACAAUAGCAGGGCAGAAUGCAAGCUGUUCAUUUUCUGCAAAAAAGUUGUCAAUAUUCUUAUUCAACACCAAGCGGCCCACUGGCUGCAGGGGCAAAAUGUCCUCAGGCCAGGUCUUGGUUACAUCGAGUGGGUCAAAGUUAAAUCUGUCCUCAUGAUCAGGGUCUAUGAUCUGGAUAAAAAGCUUCCACUCAGGAUAAUUGCCGGCCGCAAUCGAGUCAUAGAGAUCUUGGGUCGCAUGACUGUGAUUAGAACCUCCAACCUUGAUGGCUUCUUCCUCUAACAAACACUUGACUCCGCAGGUAGGUUUCCAAUGAAACUUCACAUAGUGUGCUUUCCCAUCCUUGUUAAUAAGAGUGUAAGUGUUAACCCCAGAGCCAUCCAUGUGCCUAUAAUCUUGUGGAACACCCAGGUCAUCAAAAAGAAAUGUGAACAUGUGCAAACUCUCUGGAUGGUGGGAGAAGAAGUCCAUGAUUCUCCAGUUCUCUUGAAUGUGAGACUUCGGGUUGGGUUUAAGAGCAUGGACCAUGUCUGGGAAUUUCAUUCCAUCACGCACAAAGAAGACAGGGAAAUUGUUUCCCACCAGAUCAAAGUUACCCUGAAUACACGAGAAAUGUCACAAAUAUGAACAAGAAAGGAUGAACUUCAAAAAGGCACUAAUUCCAAAAAAAGAAAACAAAAAAGGAAAAACAGACACAAUCAGUGAUUAUUUCUAGGCACUAUUUCUAGGACUACGAAUUAGUGACCACAAAUACGUCAUCAGAGAUGAAAAAGGUGAGAUCUUGCAUAUCAAUAGAGUUACCACAGUCAAACAGAAUUCCAGUCAAAAGUGAUCAGUAUGUUUUAAUAAAUGGAGCACUGUUUUCAAUGUCCAAAGUACUCCCUCUGUUCCUAAAAGAUUGUCGUUUUAGAAGAAAAAAUUUGUUCAAAAAGUUUGUCGUUUACAACUUUCGAGGAGAAUAAAUUAUUUAUUUUCCUAUAUUACCCCUACCUUUUCUCAUUGUCCCAAGAAAUUAUCUCUCUUGUAUUAAUAGUUUUCAACUUCCCAUAAAGGGGUAGUGAUGGAAUUUCAAACAAAUUUUACUUGGUAAAUGAUACUUUCUUAAUCCAUGUGCCAAAACCUUAAACGACAAUCUUUUAGGAACAGAGGGAGUACUUCACAAGAAUCACAACGAUAAAAGAAUUUUAUCACUCUCACCUCUCUGGUGUAGAACUUCACUGCAAAACCCCGGGGGUCCCUAAGGGUCUCAGGACUUCCACGCUCGUGGAUAACAGUGGAGAAGCGGACAAUUACAGGUGUCUGGACACCAGGGGCCCGAAGAAAAUCAGCACAUGUAAGAUGAGUAAUAUCAUGGGUGACCUCAAAGAAACCCUUGGCACUAGCGCCCCUUGCAUGGACAACUCGUUCAGGGAUACGCUCCCUAUCAAAAUUAGCAAUUUUCUCCACCAACUGAUAAUCCUCGAGGAGGAUUGGGCCUGUCAAACAGAAAAUGAGGUCAUAUAACUGGACCCACGCACUUUAAACAUUAUCAAUUUAUGCAAACAAUUCUACUGCUAGGCAUUGAAAUUAGUAAUAUGAGCGCGUCAUUAUUUGAUAUAAAGCAAUUUCGGCCAGUAAUAUGAUCUGGCAUAUACAUGUGUCAGGGGUUUAUACGUUUAAUAAUUAGAUACCAUAGGAGGCAGAAGCAAAUAAAAAGUAUCUUGUAUACCAUUUAAGAAUGUAAAUUUCUACGAAUUUAUUUAAGAGUAAAUUGUUUACUGGCUGUGAUUCUACUUUUCAAGUUUCACGAACAUAUUUGUAUUGUAGUUUAAAGAAAACAAAAGGCACACUACAAAGAAAAUAGGGGAAGGAAGAAUAAAGUACAAAACCCCACAAGCAAGAUUUCCUUAAAAUAUACUCGUUUUAACGAACAAUCAUCAUGGACCAAAAGUGGUAAACUCCUAAGGUGAAGAUAUACGAUACCGAGGAACAAAGCCAUAUGCUAAUUUCAAAAUUCAUGUAAGUCGUUAAUCUAUUCAUAAUGCACAUAUCUACAUCCUAAAGGCAAAACCAUGCAAAUUCACAUAUGUAAACUAGAGAAAACAAUGUGAGGCAUCUAAGCUAGAUGAAACCACUCAAUUACAAACACAAAUAAAUAAACAAUAAAAACUAACUAUCCACAAAGUACGAAAACUUUGCACAGCCACACCAAUAUAAGGAUAAAAAUCUUCCAGUAUCAUGUUCUGUCAAACUAAAUCACCACAAAUUAGCUACUCACUUUUGUCAUGUUUCAUCAGUUCAUCAAACGGUAAAAUUAUAAUCCAAACAUGAACCUUUUUACCGCCUAGAUUACGAAUUAUAAGGAUCGCCAAAAUGUCAAUACCAACAUCCAUCACAUUUUGAUACUGCUCAACUACAAGUACUAACAAUAAUAAGAUGAUCCACAAAAAGAAAACAGUAAAUAUGAUGUAAUAAGAUAUCUCGUGCCAUGAAUACAAAACGCCACUAAUAGCAUAUAACUAAAACAAAGUUCUAACUAUUUAGAAAUCCUUGUUAUCAACUUUUAAUAAAGACCACAAAAAAUUGUAACCUAUACAUGCUUAGGACUAAUUCAAAAAGAUCGAACCCAAUUGUAAUCCUCUCUUUAUUUUAUUCUUCGUUAGAUUAUUUGACUGGAUCUCGUCAGGUCCAGUAGAGAAGCCCAAGCCAAGAUUAAAGCCUUAUACUGCUCACAUUUCCAGCCCACAGACCAAGCCAGGGAACAUUAUUUCAUACUUUCAAUGUAAUAAUAACCCCCGUACAAGCCAGCUACUUUGAUGUUAAUUAAGUUGGAUUUAAUAUUUGUGGCCAUUAAUUUGGACAACGCUAGAGUUCAAUACUCAUUGUACCCUUGCCUCUUUUCUUUCUUUUUUCCCUUUUUUUUGGGCAAUAUUUUUUGUUGUUGGCUAAAUAAGAAAAAAAAUAGUUAAUUAAAUUGUAGCACAUUUAAUCCAUGAAUGUGUGUGAGAGAGAAAACACAAAUUCAUCUCUUAUUAUUGAUUCACAAAAGUAAUUAAGAAGCAAAGAUGGUGAAUAUUGAAUUAACAUUGAGAAGACUAGACAAAUUACUAGACAUUAAGAAACAUAUUAAGUUCAAGAAACUACAUAAAAACCAUGCAUUAAAACAAACGGAAGUGGUCUUAUUACAUAUUUUGAGUUUAUUUAUUUAUUUAUUUUGCAUUUUUGCCUUUUCUUUUCUUUUUGACGGAUCAAUUCCCGUAAAAAUAAAAUAAAAAUUGAUACUUUAAUUAAUUAAUUCCCCACAAAUUAGUAAUAUCCCAAAGUAAUGAAAUGAAACAUGAGUAUGUACAUAUAUAGCUAGUGGCUAGUGGAGUACUUUGUCUAGGCAAUAGGCCUUGAGCAAUGGAGGGAAAAAAGGAUUAAACAGGAACGCCUUUGACCAGCAAUUCCUGUCAACGGUGAGGAAUGCUUUGCAACAUUUGUUGGUGAGCAAUCCAGGUUGAGCACUCAAGAAGGCGUUAAGAACUUGAUGGGGGCACCCUAAUUGGAUACCUCCAAGAGCUUCAAGGCAUGGGUUACUCUCAAAAUCCGGCAAUGCAAAACUCAUUGCUAAGAAACACGCUAGGACCAACGCAACCAGUUGCUGCUUGAAAAUGACCAUGUUAGCAGCUUGAGAGUACAUGAUAAUAUUUAAUUUGGUUGAUAUAUAUUGCUUAAGUGGUAAUUAUUUUGCUGCUGCUGCCUCUGCUAUAACUUUGUUAUAUAGAUAGAUAGAUCUAGGUGUACGUGGUUGUGAGGGAUUUUACUGGUUAUGGUUAUGGUUAUGGUAAUGGUAUUUAUAAGGUAAUUAAAGAUGUAAAUGCCUUUGAAACUGUUGCUCGGUCGUUUUAUUCUUAAUUUAUUAAUCCACCAUUUUAAUUAAGGGUUUUUAUUGUGCAGUUUUUAAGCAACACAAUAUAUCAAUGGUCAUUGACUCAUUGAUGACUGAAAUAUAUCAACUUAUUAACUGCAGUUUAUGAGACUUAAUUGGUUAAUUAACGGAUUUAAUUGGUGAACAGGCUAGCUCAAAUUAAUGCGUAUAUUAUAUCAACUGCAGAACACUCUAACCAAACCCAUUUAUAAUAAAAAUGAUGUUAUCAAGUGCAAUAAUUUUAUCUAUCAACUGAUGUUUAAAAUUAUAUAAAUUUAUAUUAAAAAUGUUAAAAUAACUAAUUUACCCUCAAUAGUAUGGUCCACUAGUAUAAGGGAAAAACACUCAUUAUAUUUAUGUUGGGUAGAUGGUAUGAGUAAGCAUCCGAGCUUAUUUAUUCUUGUAAAUUGAUAAAUCCACAAAACACAUGAAAACCGUCGCUAUAGAUCCUAUAGCGACAGUUGUCACCGACAUUAUACAUCCAUAGUAACACUUUUCAUGUGGAAAUAUCAAUUUCCUUUAUUCUUUUUCUAUAACUUUAAUUUUCUUAAUAUGCCUUAAAAAUGUCAUUUCUAAACAUUCUUUUUUUAGGAUGCAGUAGUAAUUAAAAAAUAUAAAAGAAAAAGGAAAUUAAGAGUAAAAUGUAAAAGUAUCCCCCAAUAGUUUAUUCCUCAAUUGCAUAAUUAGGAAAGCAGAUCAUGUGAACGUCAACUUUCUUGUUUGGCUUUCAGCUUAAUGAAGAUCUGGAACUAUUAAUUGUUGCAGUUGUGUCAUUUGUAGAACAAUUAAUUGGUUUCCCACCCAGUAAUAACUUAUAGGAGGAGAUACACUUUUUCUCACUCUACUCGACCUCGGUUUACAAAUACAUUAUUGGACUGAAUUUUUUUUCAUUGACUCACUGAACUACAAUUUUUUUAUAAACCGUUACAAAUUCUGUUAAAUUGUUUGAUUUUGGACGGAAAAAUUACAUAAACUGCCACGUGAGAGAGAGAAAACUUACAUGUCAGACAUUUUUCUUUUGUUGCAUGCCGAGAUGGAAAGUUGUAUAAAUUUAAUGCUAAAUUAAUCAAAAUCAAAUAAAUAAAAUAAAUAAUCCAUUCAAAAUUAAAAACAAUAAAAAAAAAAUUAAAUCAUUAAUAUUUGUUUGGUAUGUUAAAACUUUGGUAGCAUACAAAAAAAAAGUAGUAUAUUAAUAUCUUUUUUCAAUAUGGUACAAUUUUAAACAAAUUAUAUAAAUUACACAUAAAUAUGUAAAUUUUUUUGUUUUUAAAUAACCCAUUAAAUUAAACAAAACUACUAAAGUAAUUAAACAAUUUUUUUGAGAAAAAAAGUAAUUAAACAGUUAAACUCCUAAAACAACUAAAUCAAUUAAAAAUUAAACAAAUAAACAAAACACUAGGGGAAAACACCAAACCCAGAAUCAAAAAGUACCCCGCCUCACCACCAUACCACCGCCACUUGUUCCCCGCCUCACCACCAUGAAGACCGCAAAUUUUUCCGACAGAUCUUCUUCGUCUUGUUUAUAUUUCCCUUAUUUUUCUUUUCCAUUUCUCAACUUCGCACAGAUCUCUCUCAUUUUUCUUUCAACUUUAAAGAUUAAAAAUUUCAGUCUUCCAUAUUUCUCUCUCUCUCUCUCUCUCUCUCUCUCUCUCUCUCUCUAUAUAUAUAUAUAUAUAUAUAUAUAUAUAUAUAUAUAUAUUCUGAAAGUGUAUUACAUUCACGAUUCCAGGCAUUAAAUGAAUCCAUUUACUUGCAAAUUUUGCAGAUCUAAAAAUAAUGAAAGAAGAACCUUCUUCACUCCAGAUCUAGCAUUGAUUUGUAUUUCAUCUCCCUUAUGAAGGCAGGUUGUUUGAAUUUCUUUCCUAUUUCCUUACUUUAGUAAAUGUUGUGGUGUAGAAUUUUGGGUUAUUGACUGUGGUGGUUAUAGAUGAUGACGGUGGUUAUGGCUAAUGGUGGAGCUUCUGUGGUGGUUAUGAAAGUUGGAAUUGAUUAAUCUUCGCGUCAAUCGGAUUGGAUCGUAAAGGCAGUAAUCUAUUUUUGAUUUGUUUGCUUAUUUUAAGAAUCUGAAAAUUAAAUAUUUUAGUCUAAUAAUUAGUACAUGUUUGGGUCUGGUUAGAAAUAAUUUUAGACAAAAUUAAAGAUGAUGGCGCCGAACUGAGAAAACGCAUCAAGAUCUAGAGAUUAAUCGAUGGUGGAGAUUGAACAGCGAAAGAGGAGGUGGUACCGGAGGUAGAAAAGGGUAUAGGUGUGGUGGUGGUGACGCUGGUGGAAGUGGUGAUGGAGGACUCUUUGAGGAAGAUGAACUGAUGAAGUUUUUAUUUUUUUUUCUUUCUUUUAUCUAGAGAAAGUAAUAGGUAAUAAUAAUAAUAAUAAUAAUAAUAAUAAUAAUAAUAAUAAUAAUAAUAAUAAUAAUAAUAAUAAUAAUCCCUCCAUUUUCAAAAUAUUAGAUAAUUUUAUAUUUUUAAAAUGAAAUUAAAAUAUUUAAAAAAUAAAAAAUACGAAUUCAUUAAUUUUAUAUAAAUACAUUUGUAAACAUUAUUCAUUAAUUUAUUUUAUUAUUAAUUAAUUUAAUGUCAUGUAUAUUAAUUUGAUUUAUAUUUUCUUAAACUAUUUGUUAUAGAAUUGAGUAUAAUUUAAUUUAAUUAUUUAUCCAACUCAGCUUCUCUCUCCUCGUCAGCACGUGACACAUAGAUUUGUCGUUAAAAUUUUAAUAGACUAGAAGGUUUUUCGAAAUUUUGUAAAAAAAUUAUAGUUCAAUGAGUUGACCGUAAAAAAAUUCAGCUUAAUGAUGCAUUUGUAAACCGAGGUAGAGUAGAGUGGGUAAAAAUGUAUUUAACCCCUUAUAGGAGUUGAAUUCGCACUCAGCCAAGUUGUUGUGGAGAUUCAAAUGGUAGGAUAUGAUGAGGAGCUACAUAUAUUAUAAACAUACUACUCCCUCCUAUAGCUUAUAUCAAGGAAACAACACUUAAAAGAAGAAAAACACAUGCCAACAAACUCAAUCGGAAGCCAUAACCGGUUUCAUUAGGGUCGUGGCCCGUGAUGUGCAUCUCAUGCAGAUGUUUCCCUGCACUGUGAAUUAGCUACUCACUUUUGUCAUGUUUCAUCAGUUCAUCAAACGGUAAAAUUAUAAUCCAAACAUGAACCUUUUUACCGCCUAGAUUAUGAAUUAUAAGGAUCGCCAAAAUGUCAAUACCAACAUCCAACACAUUUUGAUACUGCUUAACUACAAGCACUAACAAUAAUAAGAUGAUCCACAAAAAGAAAACAACAAAUAUGAUGUAAUAAGAUAUCCUGCGCCAUGAAUACAAAAAGACACUAAUAGCAUAUAACUAAAACAAAGUACUAACUAUUUAGAAAUCCUAGUUAUCAACUUUUAAUAAAGACCGCAAAAAUUGUAACAAAAGAUACCUCUAGUUCCCACUGUUAAAGAUGAAUUAUUGUUCCAAACUGGAGCACCGGAAUUUGUUGUCCAGUAAGAGGAAUUGAAAGCACUUGAAGGGCGGUGCUGCAACACAGAAAACAAAAUAAAUAAUCACAGAGAGCAGUUUUUUUAUGUGUGCUUUGAUCGAUCAGAGAUCAGAGGCUUGUGUUUUUAUUAGAAAAGCUACUAAUAAUAAGGUUAUGAAACUUGAAAAUGGAAAAUUGAAUAAAAUAAAAGAAAAUAAGGUAUUAAAUCAUUAAAAAUUAAAUUUUGGACUCGACCCUCAAUCGGGAAAGCAACAAAUUGAUGAGAAACCUAAACCUAUAUUCACAUGAGCUUAAAACAACAGCAGGAUCAUGUAAUAAGUAUCUUAUUUAACCGUUUGGAAGCCAAAAUUUCGUAUAUAAAAUUCAACAAUCUGUGAUUUUCAAUUUUCAUAUUUCCUCAACAACCUAACAAAAUGCAGGUAAAAUAUCAAAAACAUGUGGAAAACUUAAAAAAACUUAUGAUCAAAAGAUUCAAACAACAAAACACGAGAUGCAUCAUGCCUCAAUAAAAAAUUUAAAAAAAUCACGAAAUUAGAAAAAUCAAAACCGAGACAAUUUAAACAGAACGAAACGUUAUGAUUAAAUCAGAAUUAUGAGCAGGAAUUAGUUGUGAAAAAGUAGGAGAUAAAAUAAUUACCUGGUAUGGAUCCAUGGUAGGAUGAAGUUCAGAGAGAUUGAUUUGUUGAUGAGAAAGAUAAUAUUGAUUUGUGGCUAAUUUACAGUCCUUUCUUCUUCUUAUUUAUAAUUGAUUUUGUUUCGUCAUAGGAAUAAAAUAACAAAUUGAGUACUUUAACUUUGAUUUUAUCUUGGAUUUGUAUUAUCUAGGGUAAAUCUUUUUGAGUGAAGAGAUAAUUGUUUACCCAAUCAAAAUCUCGCCAUACGAUAUUUUAACUCAUCAGUAUACUUUAUUUCCCAUCUUGUUUUUUUAAGGAAUUUGUAAAUUGGCAUACCAACCAACUCUAAUACGACAACGUUCUUAAAAAUAAAAAAUAAAAAAAUAUAAAUAUAGAGUAAUAUCAUUUCAAAACCGUUAAUGGUUAUUUUUCAAGAAAUUUUUGGCCUAACCAAUUUAUUCCCCAACAAUACAAAUAUAUGAAAUUAAAAAAUACGCAUGUCUAAUUUUUAUGUAAAAAUGAUUAGUAUAAAAUUAACUUUGAUCAAUUGUUUAAUACAAUAUCAACACGUAAAAUGAGAGGUAAUCUAUGUGAGUGUCGACGUGUACGCAAGUGAUGGAUAUAGUCCACAUUGGACUGCUAAAUUAUGUUAAUGUUCAAAUUGUGGAGGCAUAUUCGUAUAAUGGUAGUUAUAAAUCACAUUUAACACGUUAAAAAAAAGGGAGAGACAAAAUAAGGAUCUCAAUUGUUGAUCUAUUGAUAAACAAAAAUUACUGAGAGUAAAGGUAAAAUAGCAAUAGAGUAUUUUUUAUUUUAUUUUUUGACAAAUAUUUAGGAAAUUAAUUGUGGGAUAAAUGGAAAGAAAUCGUCAUUAAACUACGCCAAAUUCCACAUCCACUUAUUUAACUUGUACGUACUAGGGCCUCUAUAAAACGGAGGACUCGUAUGCAAUUAAAUAAAUAAAAAUGCACACAUUAAUGUACAUAUAUUAUUAUUAAGUCCAGAACAGCAUCAAAGUGUAGAAGUCACAUGAAAGAAGACAGAUAUAAAUACAAGUUUGGUAAUAAAAAUCACUCAAAACAACUUAACAAACACAGAUAAACCGUACUACUUAUUCAACUUCAGAACAGCACCAAGUUUUGCCAAGUACGUACAAGUAUAUAUAACAUGACGACAGUGCCAUCCAUAUAUAUAUAUAUAUAUAUACUUCCCAACUACUCUUUGAUCUGGUUUUUAGCACAGAGUACGUAUCUCUCGACAUGCAGCAUCACGUUCAAAUGCUGGGCUUCACGUUGAGGCGAGACGCUAUUUUCUGACCUAGAGACUUGUCAGCCUACAUGGACCACAACAUUACCAUCAUACUAGUAUUAGAUUAUUUUCAUUAAUACUACCUACUCUUCACCUAAUUGUUCCCGCUAAUAAAAUCUUUUACUAUUAUAAUUCAUUCCUAGUUGAAAAGGGUUGGAAUCAGAUUUACCUGACUCCAGUAUGACACCCAUAUGCUGCGGAUCUCAUAGGUAAUACGCGGAUCCGAUAAACCAGUAACCACCCGAUUGAUAAAUCGCUCUUGCCUGGAACAAAUAAUUAACAAAACCAAUAAAGCCUAAGUAGUUAUUUUAUUAUGAAAAGGGAGCUGAUAUUUCAUUCCACAGUUAUACAUUUUCUUUAAAAAAUCCACUUUCGCACUGGAGUUGUUAAAUGAUCGCUGGAAAUAUCAUUCCAACAUUUAUAAAUGAAAUGGUACUUGCAUGCGUACCUGUCUGGCGCAAAAGUCCGGUAUCUGUCUCCUGCCUGCUUGAAGUUGUUCUCUUUGUCAAUUACAGACUGCAUUAACAACCAACAAGCUAUUAUCAUGUAUAUAUCUAGGUCAUCUAGCUAGCUAGCGUAAACAAAUUAUUGCAUAUUGCCUUCAUUUGUUAAAGAGAUAUCUAUCUAUUCUAUUACCAUUCAAACAAAAUUCUGUAUUUGAUUGAUCAACUCCACCUUUUUGGAAAUUAAAUUCUAUGCCAUUAAAGGAAUGCCAACAUAUAUUAUGAAAAACUCACCCUAGUUCGCCUUCCCAUCAACACGCGUGGAGGAAGGGGGUGCUUCUCAGCAUGGACCACAGGAUCAAACCUAGAAGGGAAGUAAUUGACCUGGAAGAGUGCACUUGUGUGAUUAAUAUAUAUGGAGAACACAAAAGCAUGCCUAAAGAAAUUAAUUAUCAAAAGUGGGCUAUUUAGAAAGCAAGAGAUCAUUAAGAAGCUUAAAAACUCUACUCUUUUUCACCUCCUCAUCCCUGUGCAAAAAAUUCAUUGAGCCUUCAUGGUGAUUGUUGUGAUGAGCGCACUUGGGAGCAUUAGCUGGAAGCAGCAAAUAGUUUGGUCCCAGACGGUGCCUCUGAGUAUCACCAUAAGCGAAUACCCGACCCUGGAGAAACUUAUCAUCCGAAUACCAGACACCAGGAACAACAUGAGCAGGGUUGAAAGCAAGCAUUUCAUUUUCUGCAAAAAAGUUAUCAAUAUUCCUAUUCAACACCAAGCGGCCCACUGGCUGCAGGGGAAAGAUGUCCUCAGGCCAGGUCUUGGUUACAUCGAGUGGGUCAAAGUCAAAUUUGUCCUCGUGAUCGGGGUCCAUAAUCUGGAUAAAAAGCUUCCACUCAGGAUAAUUGCCAGCUGCAAUUGAGUCAUAGAGAUCUUGGGUGGCAUGGCUGUGAUUAGAUCCUCCAAUUUUGAUGGCUUCUUCCUCCAACAAGUUUUUGACUCCGCAGGUAGGUCUCCAGUGAAACUUGACAUAGGUUGCUUUCCCAGCCUUGUUAAGAAGAGUGAAGGUGUGAACCCCGGAGCCAUCCAUGUGCCUGUAAUCUUGUGGAACACCUAUGUCAUCAUAGAAGAAUGUGAAGGUGUGCAAACUCUCUGGGUGGUGGGAUAAGUAGUCAAAGAUUCUCCAGUUCUCUUGAAUGUGAGACUUGGGAUUGGGUUUAAAAGCACGAAUCACGUCUGGGAAUUUCAUUGCAUCCCGGACAAAGAAGAUUGGGAAAUUGUUUCCCACCAGAUCAAAGUUACCCUGAGUCGGUACACACAAAAAAUGUCACAAAUUAAUAUUAUGAACACAAAUUAAAAAGUAAUCUACACACACACUAUAUAAGAUGCACAACUUCUUCAUCAAUUCAAAAAAAAAUGUAUGUAUUUUAAAAUGAAAUGGAGCUCCUAAUUAAUGUUUGCAAGAUGGUAGGGCUCCCUCAGAUGUUGCAACCCUGAAUUCCUCCAAAAGUUGGAUAAAUAAGAGUUGCGCGUGAAUAGAGCUAGCUUUAGAGAGCUUCAGUUUUGAAUUUUUAGGAUUUCAAAAUUUGACUUGAAAAAAUAAAAAUAUAUCUCGGAACGACUGGAGGGAGUAGGUCACAAAAGAGAGAAUUAUAUCAGUAUUCUCACCUCUCUGGUGUAGAACUUCACUGCAAAACCUCGAGGGUCCCUGAUGGUUUCAGGACUUCCACGCUCAUGGAUAACGGUGGAGAAGCGAACAAUAACAGGUGUCUGGACACCAGGGGCCCGCAGAAAGUCAGCGCAUGUAAGGUUAGUAAUAUCAUGGGUGACCUCAAAGAAACCUUUGGCACUGGCACCCCUUGCAUGGACAACUCUUUCAGGGAUCCUCUCCCUAGUAAAAGUAGCAAUUUUCUCCACCAACGGAUAAUCCUCAA